CAGGAGAGAAGCGAGAGAGAAGCCAUUGUUCAAGGUCCUGAAUAAACUGCCUGCGAGAAGAGCUCCGGUAUCGCGUCGUCCUUGCUGGUUGAGGUGGCAGCGACAAGUGGUGGCCCGUACGAGGAAAAAGCCACUUCCUCUCCCAGGAGCCCAGAACUUGCAGCAGUCAGGGGGUGCACCAAUAAAGUCCUCGGGAUCAUUUGGACCCUAUUUGGGUACCGGAAUGCUUGGUGAGAAAAGUACAGGUGCAGAGGAACGACAAGCAAGAUGAAGCCUCAGACUGUGAUCCAACUGAUGGUGACAGUCCUGAUGUCCCCGUUGUUGAUCCAGGCCAAUGAACAAAUCUUGUGGGCCAUAGAAAAAGCAUGGCCAAUUCCUAUACCUGUUCAUUUUAUGUCAAAAGUUUUAAAACUAAUAAGAAAAAUACUUGGCCCUGGUUUCAAUGGAUUCUUUCUAAUAAAAGAGGGGCCUUUUCAUCCCUAGA